rnacentral:rRNA from 1 species
CAAAGGAAGCGAUUCCGGCAACGGAUGGGCAUGCGUGACAUUAGCUAGUUGGCGGGGCAACGGCCCACCAAGGCGACGAUGUCUAGGGGUUCUGAGAGGAAGGUCCCCCACACUGGUACUGAGACACGGACCAGACUCCUACGGGAGGCAGCAGUGAGGAAUAUUGGUCAAUGGGCGCGAGCCUGAACCAGCCAAGUCGCGUGAGGGAUGACGGCCCUACGGGUUGUAAACCUCUUUUGUCGGGGAGCAAAUUCCGCCACGCGUGGCGGAGUCGAGAGUACCCGAAGAAAAAGCAUCGGCUAACUCCGUGCCAGCAGCCGCGGUAAUACGGAGGAUGCGAGCGUUAUCCGGAUUUAUUGGGUUUAAAGGGUGCGUAGGCGGACUGUCAAGUCAGCGGUAAAAUACGGGGGCUCAACCUCCGCCCGCCGUUGAAACUGACGGUCUUGAGUGGGCGAGAAGUAUGCGGAAUGCGUGGUGUAGCGGUGAAAUGCAUAGAUAUCACGCAGAACUCCGAUUGCGAAGGCAGCAUACCGGCGCCCAACUGACGCUGAAGCACGAAAGCGUGGGUAUCGAACAGGAUUAGAUACCCUGGUAGUCCACGCAGUAAACGAUGAAUGCUAGCUGUCCGGGGCGAAUGGGCCCUGG